rnacentral:rRNA from 1 species
AUUGAACGCUGGCGGCAGGCCUAACACAUGCAAGUCGAACGAGUGGCGGACGGGUGAGUAAUGUCUGGGAAACUGCCUGAUGGAGGGGGAUAACUACUGGAAACGGUAGCUAAUACCGCAUACCAUCAGAUGUGCCCAGACGGGAUGAGCUAGUUGGUGUGGUAACGGCUCACCAAGGCGACGAUCCCUAGCUGGUCUUAGAGGAUGACGAGCAACAGUGGAACUGAGACACGGUCCAGACUGCGACGUGAGGAAGCAGGGGGGAAUAUUGAACAAUGGGCGAAGGACUGAUGCAGCCAUGCCGCGUGUAUGAAGAAGGCCUUCGGGUUGUAAAGUACUUGCAGCGGGGAGGCGUUACCCGCAGAAGAAGCACCGGCUGACUCCGUGCCAGCAGCCGCGGUAAUAC